rnacentral:rRNA from 1 species
AGUGAACGCUGGCGGUAGGCCUAACACAUGCAAGUCGAACGGCAGCACAGUAAGAGCUUGCUCUUACGGGUGGCGAGUGGCGGACGGGUGAGGAAUACAUCGGAAUCUACUUUUUCGUGGGGGAUAACGUAGGGAAACUUACGCUAAUACCGCAUACGACCUACGGGUGAAAGCAGGGGUUCUUCGGACCUUGCGCGAUUGAAUGAGCCGAUGUCGGAUUAGCUAGUUGGCGGGGUAAAGGCCCACCAAGGCGACGAUCCGUAGCUGGUCUGAGAGGAUGGUCAGCCACACUGGAACUGAGACACGGUCAGACUCCUACGGGAGGCAGCAGUGGGGAAUAUUGGACAAUGGGCGCAAGCCUGAUCCAGCCAUACCGCGUGGGUGAAGAAGGCCUUCGGGUUGUAAAGCCCUUUUGUUGGGAAAGAAAAGCAGCAGGUUAAUACCCCGCUGUUCUGACGGUACCCAAAGAAUAAGCACCGGCUAACUUCGUG